CACGUAGGGCGCAAGCGUUGUCCGGAAUUAUUGGGCGUAAAGAGCUCGUAGGCGGUCUGUUGCGUCUGCUGUGAAAACUCGGGGCUUAACCCCGGACUUGCAGUGGGUACGGGCAGACUAGAGUGAUGUAGGGGGAGACUGGAAUUCCUGGUGUAGCGGUGAAAUGCGCAGAUAUCAGGAGGAACACCGAUGGCGAAGGCAGGUCUCUGGGCAUUAACUGACGCUGAGGAGCGAAAGCAUGGGGAGCGAACAGG
rnacentral:rRNA from 1 species